UACGUAGGGAGCAAGCGUUGUUCGGAUUUACUGGGCGUAAAGGGCGCGUAGGCGGCGCGGUAAGUCACUUGUGAAAUCUCUGAGCUUAACUCAGAACGGCCAAGUGAUACCGCAGUGCUAGAGUGCAGAAAGGGCAAUCGGAAUUCUUGGUGUAGCGGUGAAAUGCGUAGAUAUCAAGAGGAACACCUGAGGCGAAGGCGGGUUGCUAGGCUGACACUGACGCUGAGUGCGCGAAAGCCAGGGGAGCAAACGGG
rnacentral:rRNA from 1 species